GCUGGGUGUGGUGGCACACGCCUGUAAUCCCAGCUACUUGGGAGGCUGAGGCAGGAGAAUUGCUUGAACCCGGGAGGCAGAGGUUGCAGUGAGCUGAGAUCACGCCACUGCUCUCCAGCCUGGGUGAGAAAGCAAGACUCUGUCUCAA
rnacentral:SRP_RNA from 1 species